rnacentral:lncRNA from 10 species
GCGGGGUCAGGCGCGGCGUCCCGCACAAUGGGCGCGGCGCCCGAGCCCCUGACAGCGCCAUAAAUUGGCCGUGCAAAGCCGAGCGCUAGGUGGUCCCCCCUGGAGAAAAGAGCCGCCGCCGAGGGCGCGAAAAGGCGAGUCCGGAAGCCCGCCAGGGAGCCAGUGGCGCGUUUUCCAGAUCACCCUGUUGGAACUUAGCGUAGCAGAGGAAGAACACCAUGGAAUAAGGAGAAAGGAGAUACAAGUAGCCUCUCCAGGAAGAAUGUGACUGAAUACUUUUUAUACAAAACCACAAAAUUAGAUAAAUAUGUAUUUAAGUGUUAUUCCUGAAAGCUGGAGAAAGAAAUCUUACUUCUAAGAAUUGUUUAGCGAAGGAAUAAGAAAAUGUGAUGCUUGGAAGAAAAAACACACUGCCGAGAGGCCUUGCGCUGAGUGUGCUGAACAAUAGACAACCUCUAAGGAUGCUCGCCUGCAAUUCCGGCUCUGCCAUCAAUUCACUGUAUGCCUUUGGAAACUUGAAAAUUACACAUCUGACUUAAGUCUGUGGGAGCCACAGUGCUCUAGAGGGUCUUGCACUGGCAAUUGAAUGCUGCACCUCAUUGGCUAGAAUCAGUCACAUGACCACACCCAAUCUCAGGAAGGCCAGAAAAUGCAAUCCCACAAUGCAGCUGGAAGACAGCUAACUGGAAAUCAAUGCUGAGAAGUCCUAAGAAAUGCCACAGGAAGAGAAAGAGGCAGGGGGCCGGCAGAGGCCAGAACAAAUUUUGGAAAGUAUAUUUAAGAUCAUCUGGGUUAAAUACGUGUUACCCGACAUCCAAAAAUUACUUGGAAAGCCCUUGAGAAUACCUCCAGGAUCUAAGCAGUCAACCUCUAAAGCAACCAUUAAUAAAAUGGAGUCAUGAGACUGCCCUAUAACAGCUUGUGGAGAAAGAAAUGUCUCGCAUAUCACAAUAGUGUGGACAAAGAAGAUCAGCAACAAUUUGGGCAAAAUACAUACACACACGCACAUACACACACACACACACACACAAAGACAGACAUUCGCUAACUUUGGUUUGCUAUUGAGCUGCUUCUUAUCUGGGCAAUUCUACAUAGUACACUCUAGGAUACCAAGCAACUAUUUGGGCAAAAUACACACAUACACAUACAAAUACACACAUACACAUACAAACACACACACACACAUACACAGGCAGACAUUCGCACACUUUGAUUUGCUAUUGAGCUGCUUCUUAUCUGGGCUACUCUGUGUAGUACACUCCGUGGUGAGAAGCAACAGGGAUUUAUUGAUUGAUCAGUCAAUGAGUAUUGUUCUCCUGAGAAAAGCUGAGAGGUCGGCAAGUGCACGCAAAUGUGCAGAUCAUCUACAAGACAUGAAUGAUGUUCAGAAUUACUUGUCAUGCCCUUUGCUUGGGGCUGAAAACAAGAUGCAGUCACACAGAUUUCAAUGGAGUGUGUACUCUAGAGGCAGACUGCCUGGGAUCAAAAUGCUUGCAGUAUAACCAUUGACAGCUUCCAUAACUUAUCUCUUCCCAGGUUAAUCAACCUGUAAAAUGGGGUAAUAUCUGCUCCUCCCUCAUAGGGUUGUGCAUAAAAAUCUCAUGAGAUUAUAGGUGUAGAGAGGUGAGAACCCACAGAAACCUUUCCAUAAAUGCUACCUAUUAUUAUUAAAUUCUAGCUUUCUUUCAGUUUUCAAAUUUAAAGUAAAGACUAAAAUCAGCUGAGAUAUACUGCAAUCUCCAGCUAAUGUUUGGAGAAGCAUUAGUAGUAUUCCCUUCAUCUUUCCUCAUCCCCUCCUUUUAAAGAACUCUAACUGGGAACAUGCAUUUAUUUCCCUCAUAUCUGUACAAGCCAUUGAUUUGCCAGGAGAGAAAUACAAAGACUUUCACAUUUUUGCUGCUCUCUCUCCUGAAUUAAUACUCCACUUCUGAAUUUAAGGCAGCAAAACUCCAUUCAGUGUUUUAAGAGUGGGUAAAAUAUAUAGAAAUGAGAAUAGCUUUGACAAGUUAACAUCCAUGUGAAUGAGACUAGAGAAAUAACAUUCUGUAUAUGAGUGCUUUUCUUCUAAAUCAUCUUACCAACUUUCAAGUGAUUAGACAAUUUUGUUUCAUUCCCUUCAAACUUACAAAUUAAUAUUUUUAAGAGAUGGAGUUAAUAACCAGUUAAAAACUAUAAAGGCUUCCUCAAUUGAAGGUCGGAGCUUUGCUAUCUAAAACUGACUUAGAGUUACAAUAAAAAUAGCAAUAUCAUGAAAUGCUAUAUUUGUAUUUCUCAGUUCAAUUGCUUUUUAUUUUCAAACAGUAUGCAACUAAGACAUGCCUGAGUGAAGUUUCCUAGGAGCCAGAUAAUUAAUCCAACAUUUAUCUGAAAUGCUGAACUAACUUGCAUAAUUCUUCAAAUGAAUAUCACACCUUCGAUGGGGACAUACAAAUUGUUUCAACCUGAGGCUUGAAAAUAUGUGUCAUAAAGCAUUCUGAUUUAUCAAGAACACGUUGUAAUUUGUUGCAUUUGGAAUGUAGCUACCUAACUUCCUGAAUAUUUUAAUAAAAUACCUGUAAAAUUACACAAUCAAAACUAUACCUCCACCAAGCAAAGUGACAGAGAUGGUACUAACAUCAACAAAAAGGUAAGAGAAUGGUAAAUUUCAAAAGGUUCUAGCUGUUUCCGUACUCUCUGUACUCUUACCGUGAAAUCAAGCGCUGAAAAAGAUUCUAGGCUUAAAAUUCAAUUAAAGCAAACACUUUUGACAAUUAUUUUACUAUUUGAUGUAAAAAAAUAGAUUUUUUUGUCUAGUGCUUUAGUUCUUUGCCUCUUUUUAAUUUUUUCUUAUGUAUGGUUUUAUUUUAAAGUUCCACUGAGGCAAUAUACAUAUGCCAGGCAGAAAAUGCAGAUAUUAAGGGAUUUUAUUCAUAACAGGCUAAAUUUGUCUCUUGUGAAAGAUAAAAACACUUUAAAGUUGAUGAGUCUAUGAUUUUAAGUAAAAUCCUCAUUCAAAUGUGAUUGCUUUAUAGGUUUAACUCUGGUCAGAGCAAUUUGUGUUCUUUCUAUAUAUUACUCCAACUAUAAUAAAGCUGUUUAUGCAAAUGUGAAAUUGUUGCUAUUGCAGAAUCUUUCCAACCAUGUAAGGUUGUAAUGUUAAAUUCCCAUUCACGAUCAAAAUUCCACAUAUUUACAACCUGCAAACAUCCCAAAUUCACACUUCAACAUCUGUGUGGCUGCCAACUUCUACUGAAAUCUGUAGCAUGCUUUUUUAGAAGUGGAGGAAAAAAGAAUAAAAAACCUGAGAAAGUGUGUAUGAAAAAUACUAGACAGGUCUUUCACUUGGAGACUUGUGUACUACAGCACACAUUUGAUUUACUUGGGCAGAACCACUUAAUCACUGGGUAUUGGCUUUGGUAAGUUUGUGUGGCCCAGCUGUCUU